rfam:Rattus norvegicus chromosome 5, whole genome shotgun sequence.
GGGGAUUUAGCUCAGUGGUAGAGCGUUUGCCCAGGAAGUGCAAGGCCCUGGGUUCGAUCCCCAGCUCCA